CGACGAAGCACCUUUGUGGACGUGGAGUACUGGUUGCAGCCGCUUGAAGGACUGUGUAGAUGGUCACCGCGUUCAGCUGAGGCUUCGCAGACGCUGUCGACAUGACCUCGGCGCUGGCGGAGCUGUCUGAGGCACUGGCCAAUGUUGAGCUGACCGUGCCGGCCGCCCCUGCCCGCUUCCUGCGCCUCGAGUUCCUCGAGGACGCGCCUGAGGAGGCGGCCGCCGCUGCCGGGGACGC
rnacentral:misc_RNA from 1 species